rnacentral:rRNA from 1 species
AUUGAACGCUGGCGGCAGGCUUAACACAUGCAAGUCGAGCGGGGGAAGGUAGCUUGCUACUGGACCUAGCGGCGGACGGGUGAGUAAUGCUUAGGAAUCUGCCUAUUAGUGGGGGACAACAUCUCGAAAGGGAUGCUAAUACCGCAUACGUCCUACGGGAGAAAGCAGGGGAUCUUCGGACCUUGCGCUAAUAGAUGAGCCUAAGUCGGAUUAGCUAGUUGGUGGGGUAAAGGCCUACCAAGGCGACGAUCUGUAGCGGGUCUGAGAGGAUGAUCCGCCACACUGGGCCUGAGCCACGGCACAGACUCCUACGGGGGGCAGCAGUGGGGAAUAUUGGACAAUGGGGGGAACCCUGAUCCAGCCAUGCCGCGUGUGUGAAGAAGGCCUUAUGGUUGUAAAGCACUUUAAGCGAGGAGGAGGCUACUUUAGUUAAUACCUAGAGAUAGUGGACGUUACUCGCAGAAUAAGCACCGGCUAACUCUGUGCCAGCCGCCGCCGUAAAAC